UGUGUGUUUGUGUGUGUGUGAGUGUGUGUGUGUGUGUGAGUGUGUGUGUGUGAGUGUGUGUGCGCAUUUGUGGUUUAUGGAGACAUUUUGCAUGGAUACACGCCACACUGUGAGGACAUUUUGAAUUGUGAGGACAGGGACAGGGUCCUCAUAAUUCGGACAGCGUAGACGUGUUUCUAUAGGUGUAGAGACCCAGAAUCCAAAGUUUCAGCAAAUGUCUCCACAAUUCAGAUUUACGUGAAUUUGUGUAAAAUCUGUGUAUGACACAGCGGCCUCUGUAGGUGGGUCGAUGUAACUGCACCCACUAAUGAAUCAUUCACACGUGUAAAGUUCACAGCUUUUGAUUGGCUGACAGUCGCCUGUCCUCAUAAUUAUGGUUUUUGUCAAAACUGCUGUGUUACCCUAAACGAGGUGACCUCUCUUCAGCCAGCCACCAAAUCAUUUCCUGGUUAACAUUACGUUAUAUCCAGCUGAACCAGCACAUUUUCACCUGCACCUGUGGAGAAGAGGAGAGUUUUUCAUCAUAUCUGCAUUCCGGCCUCUGCGUUUGGGUCCACUCCUGCUUCCCCGAGUCUGACAUAUGGCUUACUAUCAUCAUCAUCUUUAGCAUGAGAUGUCAGCAAUAAGGCCACAGAGAGUGAAGAUUAAACCUAAAGAAGAGGCAGCAUAUUUUUCAUCCUUGGGCAAGGACGAGGAUGGAUUCAAUAUAAAAUAUAUUAAUUCAUUUAAAGGUCGAGGAGUGUUCAGUUGCCGCCACUUUCAGAAGGGAGACUUUCUUAUUGAAUAUCGAUUGGAAAUCAAACAGGAACAUGAAAACAGGCUAAGACUGUACCACGAUGCCCUGAAGGUUUUCAUGUUUGAAUUUCUCUACAAUGGGGAGAAA